UACCUGCGCCACGAGUGGUAAUCACGCUUAUUGGGCUUAAAGCGUUCGUAGCCGGUUUGGAAAGUUUCUAAUGAAAUCGCUGCGCGAAGCGCAAGCGAGCUAAUGUCUCAUAGCUUUGCUCGGUGACAUGAAAUCCUGCAGCUGACUGUAGGGCUUGUUAGAAAUACUUCCAGGCUUUGGGACCGGGAGAGGUCGAGGGUAUUAUUGGGGUAGGGUAAAACGAAUGCUUACGCAUAUGUUGUAAGCAAGCUUACAAUCCUAUAAUCCCAAUAAGACCACCUGUGGCGAAGGGCGCUCGACUAGAACGGGAUCCGACGGUGAGGGGACGAAAGCUGGGGGGAGCAAAGCGGAUUAGAUACCCUGGGU
rnacentral:rRNA from 1 species